rnacentral:rRNA from 1 species
AUUGAACGCUGGCGGCAGGCCUAACACAUGCAAGUCGAACGAGUGGCGGACGGGUGCGUAAUGUCUGGGAAACUGCCUGAUGGAGGGGGAUAACUACUGGAAACGGUAGCUAAUACCGCAUACCAUCGAAUGUGCCCAGAUGGGAUUAGCUAGUAGGUGGGGUAACGGCUCACUGAGGCGACGAUCCCUAGCUGGUCUGCGAGGAUGAGCAGCCACACGGGAACUGAGACACGGUCCAGACUCCUACGGGAGGCAGCAGUGGGGAAGAUUGCACAAUGGGCGCAAGCCUGAUGCAGCCAUGCCGCGUGUAUGAAGAAGGCCUUCGGGUUGUAAAGUACUUUCAGCGGGGAGGCGUUACCCGCAGAAGAAGCACCGGCUAACUCCGUGCCAGCAGCCGCGGUAAUAC